UACAGAGGUCUCGAGCGUUGUUCGGAUUCAUUGGGCGUAAAGGGCGCGUAGGCGGCGGGGUAAGUCUGGUGUGAAAUCUAGGAGCUCAACUCCUAAACUGCACUGGAUACUGCUCUGCUAGAGGACUGGAGAGGAGACUGGAAUUCACGGUGUAGCAGUGAAAUGCGCAGAUAUCGGGAAGAACACCCGUGGCGAAGGCGGCUCUCUGGGACGGUACUGACGCUGAGACGCGAAAGCGUGGGGAGCGAACAGG
rnacentral:rRNA from 1 species